AGUGAACGCUAGCGGUAGGCCUAACACAUGCAAGUCGAACGGCAGCACAGGAGAGCUUGCUCUCUGGGUGGCGAGUGGCGGACGGGUGAGGAAUACAUCGGAAUCUACUUUUUCGUGGGGGAUAACGUAGGGAAACUUACGCUAAUACCGCAUACGACCUACGGGUGAAAGCAGGGGACCUUCGGGCCUUGCGCGAUUGAAUGAGCCGGUGUCGGAUUAGCUAGUUGGCGGGGUAAAGGCCCACCCAGGCGACGAUCCGUAGCUGGUCUGAGAGGAUGAUCAGCCACACUUGAACUGAGACACGGUCCAGACUCCUACGGGAGGCAGCAGUGGGGAAUAUUGGACAAUGGGCGCAAGCCUGAUCCAGCCAUACCGCGUGGGUGAAGAAGGCCUUCGGGUUGUAAAGCCCUUUUGUUGGGAAAGAAAUCCAGCUGGCUAAUACCCGGUUGGGAUGACGGUACCCAAAGAAUAAGCACCGGCUAACUUCGUGCCAGCCGCCGCGGUAA
rnacentral:rRNA from 1 species